AUUGAACGCUGGCGGCAUGCCUUACACAUGCAAGUCGAACGGCAGCACGGGAGCAAUCCUGGUGGCGAGUGGCGAACGGGUGAGUAAUAUAUCGGAACGUGCCCAGUCGUGGGGGAUAACGUAGCGAAAGCUACGCUAAUACCGCAUACGAUCUAUGGAUGAAAGCGGGGGAUCGCAAGACCUCGCGCGAUUGGAGCGGCCGAUAUCAGAUUAGGUAGUUGGUGAGGUAAAGGCUCACCAAGCCGACGAUCUGUAGCUGGUCUGAGAGGACGACCAGCCACACUGGGACUGAGACACGGCCCAGACUCCUACGGGAGGCAGCAGUGGGGAAUAUUGGACAAUGGGCGAAGCCGUGAUCCAGCAAUGCCGCGUGAGUGAUGAAGGCCUUAGGGUUGUAAAGCUCUUUACCCGAGAUGAUAAUGACAGUAUCGGGAGAAUAAGCUCCGGCUAACUCCGUGCCAG
rnacentral:rRNA from 1 species